CCUACGGGUGGCUGCAGUAGGGAAUAUUGCUCAAUGGGGGAAACCCUGAAGCAGCAACGCCGCGUGGAGGAUGAAGGUUUUAGGAUUGUAAACUCCUUUUGUUAGAGAAGAGUAUGACGGUAUCUAACGAAUAACCACCGGCCAAUUCCGUGCCAGGAGCCGCGGUAAUACGGAGGGUGAAAGCGUUACUCGGAAUCACUGGGCGUAAAGGGUGCGUAGGCGGUGUAGUAAGUAAGAUGUGAAAUCCCCUGGCUUAACUACAGAACUGCAUUUGAUACUGUUACUCUGGAGUGUGGGAGAGGUAGGUAGAAUUCUUGGUGUAGGGGUAAAAUCCGUAGAGAUCAAGAGGAAUACUCGUGGCGAAGGCGACCUGCUGGAACAAGACUGACGCUGAUGCGCGAAAGCGUGGGGAGCAAACAGGAUUAGAUACCCCUGUAGUC
rnacentral:rRNA from 1 species